rnacentral:rRNA from 1 species
UACGUAGGCAGCAAGCGUUGUUCGGAAUUACUGCGCGUAAAGAGUGUGUAGGCGGUGCUCUAAGUUCGGUGUGAAAUCUCCCGGCUCAACUGGGAGGGUGCGCCGGAAACUGGGGUGCUGGAGCGCGGGAGAGGAAAGCGGAAUUCCUGGUGUAGCGGUGAAAUGCGUAGAUAUCAGGAGGAACACCUGUGGUGUAGACGGCUUUCUGGACCGUAGCUGACGCUGAGACACGAAAGCGUGGGUAGCAAACAGG